UGGAGAUAUUUAUGAAGUCAUUGGGAAGUGAACUAUCUGCUUCAAUUACCUUUUUGCGAUGAGGCAAUUCCCUCAGCACCGCGUGUACUCGCCGUUCUCUGACGUCCAACCCACAGCGGCGCGGAGGCCCACUGGAGCAGUCUUUGUGCAGUUCCUGUGUUGGAAACCCCGGGAGAUGAGACUAAAGGAAAUCAGCAGAGCGAAGAGCAACUUUGCAGAGACAAAGAGGGAAAAACACUAACGAUCAUUCCGGACUGUAGUUGGGAAGUUGCUGAUUUUGUAUUAGUUCUAAAGCUGGGCCCAGCUCAUACCUCCUACCGCGCAAACGCCUGGCGGCCGUACCUUGCUCGCCGGAGCAGAGACGCAGCACCAGCAGGCUGUAGUCAAUUCCUGUUUCACUGGGGGGCCCCGCCCGGCCAGGAAGAGGCAGGGAUCAGCUGCAAGAAGCACUACUUUAGCCUCACUCCCGGAAGCCGCUUGUGUCUGUGGGACCCUUAGCGAGCUCCGGACUGCCAGUGCUCUCUCCCCAAAGUAAUGUAACUCCCUGGAAAGGGUGAGGGGGCAGUACUACCGCUGCCCUUUCCUGGGCUGAAACCUCUGAACACAUCACAGACCACAUUAGUUUUUGUCCCCUGGGGGAUAUUGUCUCUUCUCUGACAGUUUACACAGCCAGAAUUUAGCAAACUCUCACCUGGAGUACACCGGAGUUGCUGGAUCUUUUGGGUCUGUGGGGAGAGGCAGCUGUGCAGUUGCCAUAGGAACUUCAACACCUAUGAGCAGAUUGGAUGAGAAGGGGCACAAAAGAGACAUGCAGCCAUGCCGUUCUAAGAUCAAGGAGCUGAGGCAGGUGUACCAGAAGGCAAGGAAGGCUAACUUUCACUCUGGUGUGGCACUGAAAAUAUGCUGCUUCUACAAGGAACUGUAUGCCCAUCCUUUGCAGCGAUCCCACCUCCACUGCUAAGAGCCCCAUGGAUAUUGGUGGGGGAGGUAUGGGGGUGGGACUGGAGGCAGCGGCCAGCAGAGUCGACCCCUAGGACCAAGUGGUGGACAAGGAAAUCAAGUUGGAGGAGGAUGUGGGACAGGUGACAGGAUUGUCUGGUUGCAUGGCGAGCCAGGGACUCUUUUCUGACUCCAAAGGGGUGUAGCCAGUCCCAGCAGUCCAGUUCUGGUGUGCCUGAAGCAGGAGAGGGGAGCAUGUGUUAGUACUCCAUUUUGCUUUGAUAUUCCACAAUUACAUGAGGUAGAGGUAUCCUUUAUUUUGUUGCAUGGUGCACGUGGGAGAAGGAAUCAAAAUUAAC